GGAGGAGGACGACCACCACCAUGAGGAGGAGGAAGAGAAGCCAGAAGAGAAGAAGAGGGAAGAGCAGCCCGCGGGGGCAGACCUCAGCCCGAGGAGGCCCUGGAGCCAGUGCCCAGGCUGCGUGUUUCAUGCCCCGAAGGACAGGAACAACUGAGAGUCACAGGCCAGAGGACCCCAGAAGACGGUGUGGACUUCCCUCGGGACAGCCAGGGAGAAGAAAGGACGCGGCGGCAGAAGCAGACAGAACAUCGGCUAUAUCAAGGAGGACGAAAGGACAAGGG